rnacentral:rRNA from 1 species
GAUGAACGCUGGCGGCGUGCCUAAUACAUGCAAGUCGAGCGAACAGAUGAGGAGCUUGCUCCUCUGACGUUAGCGGCGGACGGGUGAGUAACACGUGGAUAACCUACCUAUAAGACUGGGAUAACUUCGGGAAACCGGAGCUAAUACCGGAUAAUAUAUUGAACCGCAUGGUUCAAUAGUUAAAGACGGUUUUGCUGUCACUUAUAGAUGGAUCCGCGCCGCAUUAGCUAGUUGGUAAGGUAACGGCUUACCAAGGCAACGAUGCGUAGCCGACCUGAGAGGGUGAACGGCCACACAGGAACUGAGACACGGUCCAGACUCCUACGGGAGGCAGAAGUAGGGAAUCUUCCGAAAUGGGCGAAAGCCUGAAGGAGCAACGCCGCGUGAGUGAUGAAGGUCUUCGGAUCGUAAAACUCUGUUAUUAGGGAAGAACAAAUGUGUAAGUAACUAUGCACGUCUUGACGGUACCUAAUCAGAAAGCCACGGCUAACUACGUG